rnacentral:rRNA from 1 species
CCUACGGGGGGCUGCAGUGGGGAAUAUUGGUCAAUGGGGGCAACCCUGAUCCAGCCAUGCCGCGUGUGUGAAGAAGGCCCUCGGGUUGUAAAGCACUUUCAGUGAGGAAGAACGCCUGGUGGUUAAUACCCAUCAGGAAAGACAUCACUCACAGAAGAAGCACCGGCUAACUCCGUGCCAGCAGCCGCGGUAAUACGGAGGGUGCGAGCGUUAAUCGGAAUUACUGGGCGUAAAGCGCGCGUAGGUGGCUUGAUAAGCCGGUUGUGAAAGCCCCGGGCUCAACCUGGGAACGGCAUCCGGAACUGUCAAGCUAGAGUGCAGGAGAGGAAGGUAGAAUUCCCGGUGUAGCGGUGAAAUGCGUAGAGAUCGGGAGGAAUACCAGUGGCGAAGGCGGCCUUCUGGACUGACACUGACACUGAGGUGCGAAAGCGUGGGUAGCAAACAGGAUUAGAUACCCUGGUAGUC